GAAUUAGAACAACAACAUUUACAUGGAGAUGCAUUUGAGUUUCUUCUUCCCUUCUCCAGGGCAGUGUUUCCCUGAACAAAGUUCAAAUUUCCUUGUGGCCAUAAGAUCUAUCCAACUUAACCAAGUCACCAAUCAGUACAUAUAGUUCUGACAAACUUUCUCUGUAUUCAUCGUAUCUGCUCUCUUCUACAUUCUACAUUUUACUUUGAUCUAGCUAAAUAACUCACCCAAAAGACAAAAAAAUAAAUAAAAAAAAUAAAAAUUAAUAAUAAUAAUUUUCACAUGAGAGUACUAUCUUUCUAACAUUUGUUUUAUUGGUUCCCAAAUUUUUUCUAAUUUCCCUAGUCCCAGUCAUAGUCUUGCAUUAAUUUGUUCCAUUUUGUAGACCUGUCUAACUCUGUCUCUCCACUGUGCCACCCUUGGGGGUUCUGUGUCCAGCCAUAAAACUGUAAUACACUUCUUGGCAGUCAUAAGCAGAAUUCUGAUUACGUAUGUCUCCAUUAUGUGUGUGUGAUUUUUGGUACAGCAUUCCCAGUACAAACCAUUUUAACUUAAAUUGUAAUUUCACCUUCAAGGUUCUUUCAAUUUCUCCCUAACACCUUCCCAGAAUGGUAUGAAUUUAGGGCAGUCCAAAAGUAUAUGUGAAAAGUCUCCCACUAGCCCGCAUUUUCUCCAACAUAAAUUUGAAACAUUACUAUUUAGACAUGAUAAGUGGAGUUUUAAAGCAUGCAUCUUCACCUUCCAUUCAAAUUCCCUCCAAGACGGACUAUUAGUAGUUUAUGGCCUGCUUCAAGUGUUUCCUCCCAUUCCUCAUCUGUUAUCAUUAUGUUCACUUCCAGUUCCCAUUUUUCUUUAAUAUCUAUAUUCUUAACAAUCAAAUCCUGUUGUAAAGCUUUAUAUAUUUUGAAAUCAGUCCUUUUUGACAUGUCCUUUCUGUUUAACAUAAUCACUUCCUCCAUAUUAAGUUUAUCCUUGCUUGAAACUUUGCCUUAUUUUGAAAUAACUACUCUGUCUGUCUGUCCUAAAUAACAUAUUAAGCAUGAAAUUACGAAUUAUUGUGAAAUUACACGCACAGGAAGUGCUUUUAUUUUGUAGCAUUUGCUCAGUCAGCUCUGGAAGCUUCUCAGCAGACCGAGAAGAUGAGCGAGGGUCGGAGGAGCAUUAACCGUUGGAGGUCGCGCUUUUGUUCUGCAUCUGCACUUGACAGUCACUGGUUCUGCACCACUGAGCUAAAUAUGUGUAAAUGUAGAGCAUCUGCGUUCCUAUGAGCUGUCAGCCACAUCGGGAAGCCUGUCUAUGAAUCUGCGGUCAGACUUCAAUGAUCCAACCCCACUCUCUGCACACAAGAUUGAUGGCAUGCUGCUGUUGAUCCCCAAUAGGUUCAUACAAGUGAGAUCACUGGAAUUACAUGAUGUCCACACAAGGCGUACCACUGUUCUCCAUGCCCUUCCUGUCUAUCUACGUGAGGAAACCUCUGGGUUUUUGAGGACAUGUGUGGAUGAUACCAAUGAGCCGGACCUCAGGGAUGCAGCAGUUGUCCUCCUGACAACCAUCACUGAUGAUGCCGAGAGUCCAGUUACGUACGACCCAGUGAGAAUCUGUUAUCCUAGAGGGUGAUGUGAUUGUCAACCUCUCCAGCCUUCCUGAUGUCUUCCUGGGCAUGCUCAGUUGAAGUUUCCAUCUCUGCGCGUUCAAGAUGUAAGAAAAAUAACACGAAAGAAAUGCAACAACGAAAACUUCAAAAAGGCAUCAACAACCAAGCAAGUGGAUCCAUAAAAUGGACUGAUUUUUUUAAAGGCAUUUUUAAAAAGUCUUUCAAAAUGGACAGAAUUAACGCGUCAUGUUCAGAACAGUUUGCGUUCUCAUCUUUGAUUAAUCCUGGUAAACAGGUCUGUUUUUGUUCUGUUCUAAUUCUCUCUCUUUAAUAAAUUUAAACAAAAUGACUUAGCUAUUUUAUUUACUUUUUUUCUCUGCAUAAAGACGAAGUAUCAGUAAAUAGUGGAAAGUAAAUGUAAUGGUAGUAAGCAAAUAGCAGAUGUUAAAUGUUACUUGCAGUAUGUGUUUAUAGAAAAAAUAGAGAUACUUAAAUGUACUAAAAUAAUAUUACGUCAAGUUUACUGUAAAGUGUACUUUCAAAACUGUAAGUAUACUCAAUUAUAUAAGAAGUACACUACAAGUAAACAUACAUUAUUACUUUAAGUAUAAUUUUAAGUAUACAUUCAAAGAGAAAAGUAUACUCAAUUAUUUCAGAAGUACACUACAAGUAAACUUAUAAUGUUACUUAAAUUUUAUUUUUAAGUAUACUUUCAAGGGCAAAAGUUUACUCAAUUUUAUUAGAAGUAAACUUAUACUGUUACUUUUAAGUAUACUUUCAAUGAGAAAAGUAUACUCAACUAUAUCAGGAGUACACUACAAGUAAACUUAUAUUGUUACUUUUAAGUAUACUUCCAAGGAGAAAAGUAUACUCAAUUAUUUCAGAAGUACACUACAAGUAAACUUAUAAGUAUACUUUCAAGGAGAAAAGUAUACUCAACUAUAUCAGGAGUACACUACAAGUAAACUUAUAUUGUUACUUUUAAGCAUACUUCCAAGGAGAAAAGUAUACUCAAUUAUAUCAGAAGUACACUACAAGUAAACUUAUAAGUAUACUUUCAAGGAGAAAAGUAUACUCAAUUAUAUCUGAAGUACACUCCAAGUACACUUGUGAGGUUACUUUAAGUAUACUUUCAAAGAGAAAAGUAUACUCAAUUAUAUCAGAAGUACACUACAAAUAAACUUAAAUUAUUACUUUGAAGUAUACUUGUAGUAUACUUCAAGUAUACUUUUAGCGGCCCAAUUUAGUCCCAAGGAGUAUACUUCUAAGUAAACUUUAAGAACAAGUAUGCAAAUAAACUUCUGUACACUUAAGUAUACUUGAAAUUAAAUACUUAAAGUAUACUUCUUUUUCGUAAGGGACGGCGGGCUCCAGUCUGAGGUGAGUAAGCUAAAUAAACGUUUUAACAUCUUCUAAAGACAAUUCCCUACCUAAAUGCAAAGUCUGAGAGACGUGGUUCACUUCCUUUAGCUAGUCAGUCGGCAAUUCUGCAACAGUGGCUCUAACUGACGCAGCACUAGUUGACAGACAGCAUUACAGCGUGAAAUCCAGCUUGUGACCCGGUUCUGUAAGGAAUUCUGUUCAGGAGGUCGCAUUUCAGGCUCUCCACAUCAUGUGUGACUGACUUUUACGUUAUAAAAACGAUCACACACUAGGAAUGUUAUAAAGCGCCUAUAUAGGAGAUUCUUUUGUAUAUUAUCUGACUUUAUAAACUCCCAACAACAAUGUGCUUAUUUUUUUUUUUCAGGCUAAAUCUACCCAAGACACUGGCUGUCAGACUGAUUUAGCUGCAAGAAUGCACUUGUCCAGGCUGACAUGAAACCUUCCCUGUAGCAAAGCCAGCCAGAAUGGAGUUCACAGCCGCAGUGUGUCUGGUGACCCACAGGGACCAUGAUGAAAAUUCAUCUUCCAGAAGGUCCCAGAGCAGCAGCCACGCCCCCUGAAAAGACCAAGAUGUAAGGUGUCUGCUGUUGAUUCCAGCUUCCACCUCAGUGACAGUGCAAGCUCAGUGAACUGUUCAAGGUAAAAAAAAAUUAAAACAUUUCAGAAUUUUUAAGAUAUUAACAAUUAAAUAAGUAUGUGAUUACAUCAUGACGGAGGCUACUGAUUCUGCCCCCGUGACACUUGGUGGUGACGUGUGAGCUGAUUCACCUGGAAAACAACUUUUACAUUAAAUAUUUUGUUUUUGCUAUCAAAAGUAAAUUAACUAAUAACCUGCAUUAUUGCAGGACACUCAGCAAAAUAUGGACUCUAGAGGCAGGCACACGUUAAUAUUCUAUAGGAGCACAUAAGGUGAGCAACACCACACAUUGUACACUGUCCUGAAUUUGUUUUCGUUCUGCAUCUCAUUAGCCUGGCUGAUCACCUGAUAACUCCUGUCAUCUGGUUAUGACAGCAUGAGGAUGUCCUCACACACCUGUAACCUAUCAGCUCAUCUGGCAGAAUAGAGAGAGAAGAUACAACACCACAUCUCCUGUUCCUGGAAAGCCUUCAGCCAUCCUUCGAUGACUGAGAACCUCCAUCAGCUCUGUCUCCUGUCUGCCUACAAUUAUUAUAAUAAAUAUUGUGUUUGACAAGUUUUUU